rnacentral:rRNA from 1 species
UACAGAGGUCUCAAGCGUUGUUCGGAUUCAUUGGGCGUAAAGGGCGCGUAGGCUGCGGGGUAAGUCGGGUGUGAAAUCUCCAGAGCUCAACUCUGAAACUGCACUCGAUACUGCUUUGCUUGAGGACUGGAGAGGAGAUUGGAAUUCACGGUGUAGCAGUGAAAUGCGUAGAUAUCGUGAGGAAGACCAGUGCGAAGGCGGAUCUCUGGACAGUUCCUGACGCUGAGGCGCGAAGGCCAGGGGAGCAAACGGG